rnacentral:sRNA from 1 species
CAGGGAGAGUUCCGAAGGGUUUUUCCUUCCACACUCCGGCCCAGCCUUGCUGCUGAAUAUUCAUAAGAAGGCUGCACCGGGGUGCUCGCACAGUAUCCGACACCCCUACCCAAUGCUCAGAUGGAGCAAAUGAAGUUUCAAGGACCUGGUGAUCUUCCAGGCAUUUCUCCAUCCUGAAAACUUCGACAUGGGAACCGUCACUUGCUUACCUCAUGGAAUCCAAUCCAGCUGGCCACUUCAGGUUCAUAGGCAAUGACCCCAGAAGGGCGGGCUGAGGCACCUUGCUGUCAUGUGUUCCAAAUACUUUACUCAUUGUCUUCGCUCCUGCUGGAUGGGGUCCAAAACGAGCCUUGAAAGUAGUCUGCCUUUUCAGCGAUACACAGCAUACUACCCAGUGUAAGGGUUGAGCUUAAAUAAAUCUGUGCAGACCUAAGAACAAACCUGUGUAAGGCUCUCCUUCAAGAGCAGGAAUGAAAUAGGCUGCCUUCCCUAAAUUGGAUGCCACCCUGUGGUUCAGA